CCGCCGGGCACUGCCCGCAUGACGCCGCUGAUGGAACACGCCGCCGCUCGCUUCUCCUCCUCCGGCAGCCGGGCUCUCCCUCCACGCGCCGCGGGCAGCAGCGCACAGGAUUUACAACCCUCAGGGUACACCUACAUACCUGAGAGUAAAGCUCCUGUCCAGGUUCAGGGGUUGCAGAUUCUUGCAAGCCUGGAGUGCAGAAACAUCAUGACAAGCAUUUGAUGCAGAAUUUGCAGUUUACUAAUCAGAAUUCCUCUGAAAUAUGAGCAGGAAACAUUCUGAGGAAAACCUUGCCUUAACCUUCUGGGACUGCAGUGUCAAUAUUGAGGCAGGAGAGAAGAACAAGACAUUCUUCCUGGGUUACAUAUACCUUGUAGCUGAAGAGCAGGAUGGCUUGGGGAAAAGUGGGACAAUCAACUUUGCUUUUGAUCAAAAGGAGAAUUUGCCUGAAGCAGGGAGUGCUCUUGACUGCCACAUACUCAAUAGCUGGCUUUCCUGGAGAAGAAAGGGACUGGAAGUCCCCUAAGAUCUUUUACUAUAAAUAACUGUAAAUAUAUAAUCCUAACAGAAUUAAUUGACCCCUCCAGAGCAAGAUGUUGUGUGUGGCACCAGGUGCACCUGCCAGACAUUCCUCUCAAGCACAAGUUUAAACCCUCAGGAAGGGCUCUGCUCUGCUGCACAUGCAGCCAAAGGAAGCUCUUCCUGCACUAUUUACUCCCCAGGCAGGAUUCUACAGUGUCCUGGCAAGCAGGUCUGCAGGAGCCAGCCCGGAGUGACACAACAGCCCCAGUGCAAUUUGAGGUGCUUUGUACAUUGCCACUUUUCAUGGCAACACUUGUAGCUCCAUUUUCCCAAAUGCAAGUACAAGUCCUAAUCCUUUCCUGUAUAAUUUUGCAAAUUAAACCUAAAUUAUUCAGAAGUACAGCUGUUGUUGUGUAAUCCUUGCUAGUUCUUUAAGCAGCUUUCUGUCUAUAAGUCACAAAUUUUUCUUGGAAUCUAGUGCUGAAAUAAGUGCAAGAAACACCUUCUGUCUUGCUAAAAGCAGAGUUCUUCCUCCAAAAGGCAAAAGCUAGUGACUUUUUCAGUAUCUUUCAUUAUUUUAUACCAAUUACUUUCCAGUUUAUUUCAACCAGCUGGAAGACCCUUUCUGCUGUUAGCAUGGUGUGUUAUAUACAAGUCCAAGGUUAGAUCAAAUGUUUUAAUUACAAUAACAUACAUAUACAGCU